rnacentral:rRNA from 1 species
UCCCUACGGGGGGCAGCAGUGAGGAAUAUUGGUCAAUGGGCGGGAGCCUGAACCAGCCAAGUCGCGUGAGGGAAGACGGUCCUAUGGAUUGUAAACCUCUUUAGGCGGGGAGCAAUGCCGGGCACGCGUGUCCGGAGGGAGAGUACCCGCAGAAUAAGCAUCGGCUAACUCCGUGCCAGCAGCCGCGGUAAUACGGAGGAUGCGAGCGUUAUCCGGAUUUAUUGGGUUUAAAGGGUGCGUAGGCGGCGCUUCAGGUCAGCGGUGAAAUACCGGGGCUCAACCCCGGGGCUGCCGUUGAAACCGGG